UUAAUCCUGAUGUGUUCGUUGAAUUUAUUAUGUUUUGACCGAACAUUAUAAAUUCGGGAGUCUGACUGUUUCGUUAUGGCUUACAAGCCUAUUUAGUAGGACGUAAAAAGUAAUGAAUAAGACACCCACCUGCUUACGAGCGGGUUCAAAACUUUUUUUAGGAGACGGCACGAUCGGGAUUAAU
rfam:Amphibacillus xylanus NBRC 15112 DNA, complete genome.